UACGGGGGGGGCAAGCGUUGUUCGGAAUUACUGGGCGUAAAGGGCUCGUAGGCGGCCAACUAAGUCAGACGUGAAAUCCCCAGGCUCAACCUGGGAACUGCGUCUGAUACUGGAUGGCUUGAAUCCGGGAGAGGGAUGCAGAAUUCCAGGUGUAGCGGUGAAAUGCGUAGAUAUCUGGAGGAAUACCGGUGGCGAAGGCGGCAUCCUGGACCGGCAUUGACGCUGAGGAGCGAAAGCGUGGGGAGCGAACAGG
rnacentral:rRNA from 1 species